rnacentral:rRNA from 1 species
AUUGAACGCUGGCGGCAGGCCUAACACAUGCAAGUCGAGCGGAUGAAGAGAGCUUGCUCUCUGAUUUAGCGGCGGACGGGUGAGUAAUGCGUAGGAAGCUACCCGAUAGAGGGGGAUACCAGUUGGAAACGACUGUUAAUACCGCAUAAUGUCUACGGACCAAAGUGUGGGACCUUCGGGCCACAUGCUAUCGGAUGCGCCUACGUGGGAUUAGCUAGUUGGUGGGGUAAUGGCUCACCAAGGCGACGAUCCCUAGCUGGUUUGAGAGGAUGAUCAGCCACACUGGAACUGAGACACGGUCCAGACUCCGACGGGAGGCAGCAGUGGGGAAUAUUGGACAAUGGGCGCAAGCCUGAUCCAGCCAUGCCGCGUGUGUGAAGAAGGCCUUCGGGUUGUAAAGCACUUUCAGUAGGGAGGAAGAGUUGAGUGCUAAUAGUACUCAGCUUUGACGUUACCUACAGAAGAAGCACCGGCUAACUCUGUGCCAGCCGCCGCCGUAAUAC